AACGCGAAGAACCUUACCUGGGCUUGAACUGUUGGAAGUAGAAUUGAUGAAAGUCGAGACGACCUGUUAAGUCAGGAACCAAUAGAGGUGCUGCAUGGCUGUCGUCAGCUCGUGUCGUGAGAUGUUGGGUUAAGUCCCGCAACGAGCGCAACCCUUACCCUAUGUUGCUACGUCUAUAAUGGACAGCACUCUUAGGGAACUGCCUCGGACAACGGGGAGGAAGGUGGGGAUGACGUCAAGUCACCAUGGCCUUUAUGUCCAGGGCUACACACGUGCUACAAUGGCCGGUACAACGAGCAGCAAAUCCGCAAGGAGGAGCAAAUCUCUAAAAAGCCGGCCCCAGUUCAGAUUGUGGGCUGCAAUUCGCCCACAUGAAGGUGGAAUCGCUAGUAAUCGGGGAUCAGCUGGCCCCGGUGAAUACGUUCCCGGGCCUUGUACACACCGAGACGUA
rnacentral:rRNA from 1 species